AUAAUCCAUAACAUGGCAAAGUUCCUCUCACACAAGGAUGUCCAGAAGGAACAAUCGUUUACAUCCUGGAACUUCUAUCAACGCAAAUGGCUGCAUACUACAGAAGCAACAAUAGUUUACACGCUGGAGCUUCGCCCGGCAUAAAUUUUGAAAACCUGCUUUCUUGAUUAUCUUCCACAACAAAAACAAUUGGUCUUCAAGAUUGGUUUGUAUCAAUAUUAUUAAUGCCUAUACAAGAAAUUACUCUCUUGAA